rnacentral:rRNA from 1 species
CCUACGGGUGGCAGCAGUGAGGAAUAUUGGUCAAUGGGCGGGACCCUGAACCAGCCAAGCCGCGUGAGGGAAGAAGUUACAGCGUAUCGUAAACCUCUUUUGUCAGGGAACUAAGGCGGGGACUAGUCCACGGAUGAGGGUACCUGAAGAAAAAGCAUCCGCUAACUACGUGCCAGCAGCCGCGGUAAUACGGAGGGUGCGAGCGUUAUCCGGAUUUACUGGGUGUAAAGGGAGCGCAGACGGCAGGACAAGUCUGGAGUGAAAGCCCGGGGCGUAACCCCGGCACUGCCUUGGAAACUGGGCGGCUGGAGUGCAGGAGAGGUAAGCGGAAUUCCUAGUGUAGCGGUGAAAUGCGUAGAUAUUAGGAGGAACACCGGUGGCGAAGGCGGCUUACUGGACUGUAACUGACGUUGAGGCUCGAAAGCGUGGGGAGCAAACAGGAUUAGAUACCCCUGUAGUC